rnacentral:lncRNA from 1 species
UUACACACUGAAACUCGAAGAUGAGCCCAAAAGAAAAAUCUUAACCAAAAUACUUAAAAGGAAAAAAGGAGAGGAAAAAAAAAAGUUGUUAAUAAUAUAUCAAGUAGAAAGAAAGACACAGUAACAGGUAUUAUAAGGCCAACCCUUGCACCAUUUGAAACAAAAUCUGAUCUUCAUCCAAGCAAAAUGAGGGCAAAAGGUAAGGAAGAACAGAGAUGAGGAUUAAUCAAGUAGAGAUCCCCUGGCACAGGUUCUUCAGUAGAAUUAUCCUCCUACUUUAGAAACAUUCCGAUCAUUGAUAAAUUUUAGGAAGUUAAAACUCAUCUGCGGGGUAGGGGUAGACCGAAGAUAUACUGGACAGAAGUAAUUAGAUAUGACAUGGAGCAAUUACGGCUCACUGAGGACAUGACCCUUGAUAGGUAGGUUUGGAGGACGAGUAUUAGGGUAGAGGGCUAAGGGAUGUGGUUAAGUCAUAGGCUGGAGUUAGGAGAGUUUCGUGUAGCUUGGUUGGUAGGGCAAGGGUUGGGGGGAGGGUGUGUCUUUUGUUGGUUCAUGUACUUAUUUGAGGUUGUUGUAUCGUUGUUAUUUUAUCAUGUUGUAUGCUUGCGAUAUUUGAACACGGUCUCGGUCCUUUUCUUGAGCCCGGGGUCUAUCGAAAUCAAUCUCUCUACUUCUUCGGAUGUAGUGGUAUGGACUGCGUACAUUCUACCCUCCCCAGACCCCACUAUGUGGGAAUAUACUGUGUUUGUUGUUGUUGUAAAAUUCAUCCGCACUUAAAAGGAAAGCUUUCCAGAGAUCAUGAGUUUUUGUGAAUGAAAAAUGACAAGAGUAACAACAUUAAUGGCCCCAACACAAGGCCAAGAAUCUACAAAGCAUAUUAGGAAAUUCGAAGGCGUUCUUCAAAAUGAUACAAGAGUGAUGUGAUCAAUCAUCACUAGAUUCUUUUUCCUCUUCAGGGAAGUUCGUUGGAGCAGGGAUGCCUCAAUGGUUGAUUUUUUUUUUAUUAUUUUUUUUUGCGGGGAGGGGGUGGGGGGUNNNNNNNNNNNNNNNNNNNNNNNNNNNNNNNNNNNNNNNNNNNNNNNNNNNNNNNNNNNNNNNNNNNNNNNNNNNNNNNNNNNNNNNNNNNNNNNNNNNNNNNNNNNNNNNNNNNNNNNNNNNNNNNNNAAGUGCAGGGAAAAAAGAUUUAAGAAUGAAAUUAAAUAACUCCAUAUAUAAUUAGAUACUACUUUUUCCACCACAAUAUGUUGAACUUAAAUAAGUCUGAUAUUUGGCAAAAGUUCUGAUUCAUGUUUGACACUUGUAUUUAGUAUGGACAUACAUGAAGAUUCAUAGAUUACUAUAUUUUUGGAAACUAGUAACCACUAACUUGCUUUGAAAAGAUAAAUCAAUUGAAGUUGAAAUGAAAAUUGAUGCAGGUAGAUUGGAUAGGAUAUAGAGAAUCCAUAUAGCCAAAACAACAACUCUUGGAUUGAGGUAUAGUUGAAUUUUAGUUGACAAUAAUCUGAACACGGCAGUAUAGCAAACAAGAACAGGCCACAAUCUAGCAUCAAAACUAAUACUAAAAGUAAAAUUAAACUGAUCACUGUUUCUAGAAGAGUAGAGCCCAUUGUUUCUCUUCUUUUUUUUUGUCCAGCAGCACAUUGUUUCUCUGAUUUGACUGAAAUAAUCUUCUUACAUUAUGCCUUUUUCUGUAUAUUAGGCAACUGAGCUUCCCCUAACCCUAUAAAUGCAAAACACUGUGAUGAGUUGGCUACCAGCAGGAACAGCCCCUCACGUCUCCUUCUGAAGAUAAUUUUCUCUUAAAACUUGUAUCUAUUUUUAUAUAUCCCUCUUAUAAAUCCCUUUUCACCUUGAAAAUUGAACUCCAUAAAGAAAACUUGAAAUGAAGAUUCCAGUUCCAACAUCACUGACAUUAAUUCUCUCAUCCUAUAGUUAUUGAUUAAUUACAGUUUGUGGGAUGCGAAUAAAGACCUGGAUUCUAAGCAUCAUUUCUUUUUAUAUAUUAAUUAGAAGGUAAAACUAUUGAAUAGAAAAAUGGAACUUUCUUAAAUAACUAUAGGAUGAAGCUUUCACGGAAACCCAAAAAGGGUAUCAUGAAAGGUUAAAAGAGACUCGAAGUGUUUUGUUUCUAGGAACUUAAGUAACCCAGAACCAGAUUUUAUCUGAAGAGUAUCAGUUCCCCUGACGGUGAUCUCUUCAAGGAUGUGUACAUUAAAUUAGGAAUAUUUUUGCAGCAAAGCCAGAGUAUCGCAGAAAACUGAAAAGAAACACAAUGAGCUCCAUCUGUUCUGAAGUCCAGUAAUGUUGGUCACGCAGACUAUGAACGACAACUAAAUCAUACCAAUUUGGUAUGCAUUCGAUAUCUAUCGAACUUUCGUCUUCUUAUUUCUCAGCUUGGAACCAUUCAUUUACAACAGAAGUAGCUUGAUAAAUUUGGGCACAGAAUUGGAUGAGUUCACUGAGCAUAACAAUGGUUAGUCUGGUAUUCAAACUGAAAGGCUGAGAGACUACAAUAGAUAUUCUCAUAGUCCAACUCAUUGGUACACAUUGUGCAGUAUAGAGUAUAUUCUAGUUAUGCUCAGCUAAAAAAAGGCAGUUCGAUGCACAAAGCACCACGCGUUGGUAGAGCCUGGGGAAGUACAUUAGUGGCUGCUUCCACGGCUUGAACCCGUGACCUACUGGUCACACAAAGACAACAUUACCUCUGCUCCAAGGUUUCAUUAACUAUAUUUCAAGAACCCAUGUGUACAAUGUUAUGUCAUCUGCCUUCGUCCUCUACUAUUCCUACUUGGCUUCUUAGGAUAAUAAUAUAUUUAACUGUUCAACACUCCCUUUAACAACUAAAAACCAACUAAUUUCUUCAAAUCACUAUGUCCGAGUACUUUUCAGCCUACAACUACUGAAGAUAUUCAAGAUUACAUUAAUACAUUUCAGUCUAAGAUCACCCACAGGAUGUAAGAACGAGAUAAAGUCUAUAGGAGUAAUUUCAGAUAUAGGACUCCUAAUUUAGAGUUAACAAGUUAAAUAAGGGUAUGAAUAUCACAGAUCCUUCAACAUACACCAAAAGAAGCUUAGUAAAACUUGAACAACAGGUAUACAUAACCAUAUCCAGGUCCAUGUAAUACAGGCUCCUUCCCUUCGAUAUUCCCCUUUCUCUGUGUAACUUAAGAGAUCUAACUAGUGCAUAAACCAAUUAGCAUGAAAUCUUAUUCUAUUAACAACAACCAACACCUCACAUAACCUGCACCCAGCAGCAACUACAACAACAUAAACAGUGCAGUCUCACAAAAUGUGGUCUGGAGAGGGUAGUGGCAAAAGUCAUAAAUGAAAUAGAACUCUCUGUCUCAUUCCCCGCUAACCGUGAACAGAGUGAAAGGCUGGCCAAGAGUUUUUUAUAAGGGGUCUUUUUUCUAAAAUAUUCCCCGAGCUCACCUAUAUCCUAUUUCUCUUCUAAGGGUGAUCCUAUUCCUCAACUCACAAUAAGUAAGGUAGGGACAACUCAAACAGACCUCAGCUCUACCUCAGAUGUAGAGAGGUUAUUUCCGAUAGACCUACUGCUGAUAACCUGCACCUAGCAGCAAAAAGAUAGGUUCUUUCUCACUUUCAACUACCCCCAUCACCCCCACACACAAAAAACCCCAAACGCAAAAACCCCAUAAUUUCUAAGUUCUGUUUUUUUUAAUAACCAUGGUGUCCAGGCAAGCUUUCGCACACCUCGACUAAAUCCGCGGCUACCUGCCACCUCCCACCAGCAACAGUUUAUCCUUAUUUAUCUAUUAGUUUUCAGUUCUUAUCUUCAGCGCGGGGUAGAGCAGUUUGGUAGCUCGCAAGGCUCAUAACCUUGAGGUCACGGGUUCAAAUCCUGUCUCCGCAACAUCUUGUUUUUCCAAACUAUUUUAGGGUUGACUCUGGUAACUAGUAAUUAAUUCCCGCCUUUCGCUUUUUGGGGGUGGAAGGCAAAAGAAAACGUAGGGGAUAUCAGGUAACUCUGUCUAACAAGGGUCGGACAAAUGGGAAGAAUCAUCUAGUGUUGUUUGUCCAUAAUUUCGAAGUUGUAACUGAAUCAGAAGUUCAAAUUUAACAAAUUCCAAGAAUUAAACUGCUUAAAAAUACUGAAACUAUAAAAAAUAGCUUACCAACAAGAACCAAACUGAGCUUAGCACACUGCACAUUCAAAAAGAAAUCCAAAAAUUAAUUAAUUAAUUCUUCACAAAAUCAAAAAACUUGAGAAUAGUGAAGGAGAGGGCAAGAGCUACAUUGUAAAUUUGGAAAGCUUUGCCAACAGCGACAGUGACGAAGGUUUCAGUACCAAGUCUCUGUACAGAGAAAGGAACAUUGGUCGUAAUGUAACCAAUUGCUCUAAAUGGCUCGAAUAUCCCCAUUUUCUUUGCUCCACAAGAAAAUUGAAGAGCUUUGUAAAGAUUUAGGCUACUACUAUGCACAAGGGUUUAACAAGUGUAAGCUUUAAACCCUAAUUUGUUGCACACCCUCGACUGUGUGUAUUUGUGUGUUUCUCUUUUCGUAUUAUUUUUUGUUUUAUGUUUUACUCCGCUCGGUCCAACUUUACUUACCCACUUUUGAACUUAAAACGCAUCUCACAAACAAUAAAUAAUAGAACUAAUUUUACUACAUUAUCGUUUAAACAUAAUAAAAUAAAGAAUCGUUUGAUAGACAGGCCGGCUUCAAGGUGAAGUCAUCGAAGCAAGCGCUUUAGGUUUUUAAUUUUUGGAGACCUUAUUUUUUUAAAGCAUUAUAGGUUUGUAUUUUUUUUUAGAUUUUUUCUUUAGAAAAUAUCAAAUAUUUCUUAAUAUUUUUGUCACCAUAUUUUAAUUUCUCUUAAGUUCAAAUAAAAACAUCACUUUAGAAAUUCAAGAUUAAAGUUGACAAUCAACAUUAAAAAAUAUCUUUUAAUACUCUCAAAUCUAAAAAAAAAGUCUAAUAAAUAGAGGUAACUCAAAAAAUCAUAUCUUCUAUUUAUUAUUUUGAUUAAUGGGGCGAAAAGAAUCAAAGCAACAAUUACAAUUGAAUCAAAGAAGUUGAAAGAUAAGAUGUAUUUCGGUCAAAUAAAAAGAUUUUACUAUUUUAUGAGUGCAUUUUUUUUCUUAAUCUUAUGUAAUUGUCUUAGCUGAAAAAAGUUUUUUUUAAAAUAAAAUUUUAAAAAUAUUACUUAAGCUUAAAAAAUAAAUAUUUCAAGAGUUAUCAAAUGAAUUAAGCAUAGUAUUAAUUGAAAAGGAAUUUUUUCAGAUAAAUCAAUUACAAAACAAUUUUAUUUAUAAUUUUACACCUCAAAAAGCUAUAAAUAUAGAUUUGUAAAAAAAAUAUUCAAAACCUCAUUUUAAAAUUUCGCUUUAGGCCACCAAUUAUGUUGAGUCGCCCCUGUUGAUAGAAUACAUUAAAAAAUUAAUACAUACAUUAACUUUAUGUAUUAUUAAUAUCUUAUUUGAUACACAUUUUCAACCUACACUCUAUUGUGUAUUAUGUUAUUCAUAUUACAUUCUUGAUAUUAGCAACGAAAAGGACUUUAAUGCAUGCAUUAGCAAGAUAAAGACGCAAUAGUCCCUCAAAAACUUUUUCACAUUAUUUUCAUUAUAUUUGUGGAGGAUAUUUUUAUAAAUAAUUUUUUAUUAAAAAUAUGCAAUGCAAGUUAUUUUUAACAUGUCAAAUCAAACACAACAUAAAAAAUAAUUUUGACAUAAUUAAUGCAAACAUAAAUAAUAUAUCAUAAUUUGCACUAUUCUUCUACACCCUACAAAAUGAUUCUUAAUGUCUUGAAAAAUGCAUUAUGUACCGAAUAUAAUAUUUACUAAUAAAGAUAAAAAAUACACAAAUAAAUAAAUUAAGCACUAAUUUUUUGAAUUAGAUAUCUAUUUUAGUAACAUGGAUAAAUAAAAAUGGAUAAUGUAUUUAUGUUUUAAUAAAUGUAUAUUUUUUUAUGUUUAUUUGUUGAAAAGUUACUACUUUCGUUCAAUAAUACUUGUCUAUUAUUGUUUUAGCACAAAAAUUUAAAUAAUAUGAAUAAUUUUAUCAUAUUACUCUUUGAAUACAAUUAAUUCAGUAUUUUAAAAAAUAUACUAAAUAAUGACUAUACUUUAACCGUCGAUAAAAUAAAUAAAAAUAAAUAAAUUAUUUAUUAAUUUUUUAAAUUAAAAAAAUAUUACUAUAUAUAUUGUAGGAACCCCUACCUUGAACCCUUGGGGGAGGGUUGAGGGGGGCUUGCUUGAUUGUUUUUUUUUUGGUUAAAUAUGAUGUUUCAUAAGUAAUUUUUCCUUUCUUUUUUUUGUAUAGUUUUUUUUUUUUUUUUUUGGUUCUCACCCAUUGUUCAAUAUCCAUAUUGAAACUUUGAUUAAUUCAAUAUCCAUAUUGAAACUUUGACUAAUUCAAAUUGUGCAUUGUAUGGCCCAUUCUGGGGGUGACGCUCCCAACGAGAUUUUCUCCAUACCCAGGGCUCGAACCUGAGACCUCUGGUUAAGGGUGGAGAAGUCCCACCACUACACCACAGUCCAUGUUGGUGUAAAAUCGUUUAGAAUCUUAAACUUUGCUGUAAAAAUCAAACACCCCCUCAACUUUGAACAAUAAUCAUUUUCCUUCCUUUUUCCUAUUUGAUAUUUUUAAAUACGUAUUUUACCCUUAUAUUUAUAUCAACAUUUGUAUCUUUUUAAGAAAAAAAAAUUAUAAAAAUAGUUUUUUAUUUUUUAAUCUAUAUAACAUAUUUUAUAUAAAAGUUAAAAAAUAUUUUUAUCAAACCCACAUUUUAACUUUAUUAGUAAAUUCUUUUAUAAUUAAUUACAAAAUCUAAAGGUACUUUUUACAUUCAAAUUUUUUAUAUUAUCUAUAUUUAUAAUCUAUAUCUAUAAUAUUUUAAAAGUGUGAAGACCCUUAAAAAAGUGGUUAGAAUUUUUGUCCUUCAUUAAAAUACUCUGCCAUAGACAAAAUCGUCUUUUCACCUUUUUCCACCAAUUAUUAUUUAAUUAAAUUAAACACUCCUAAAAUAUAUAGCAAUAACAAUUCUAUGGUAAAAAAUAUUAGGAGAAUUAAAAUAUUUGAAUAUAUAUGAAAAGUCUAAUUAGCUAAGGAGAAUUAAUGCUACUUUAUAAAAACCCUAAAUUAAAAAUUAUGUCAAUUAAAGCAAAAAAAAAAAGUCCAUAAAAGUAUUCUUGAAUAGGAAUGCAAUGAUAUUGAAGAAGCUAUAUUUAUAUACAUAAUAAAAUAAGGAACAUAUUCAUAUAUACGACAAUAAUACUCAUGUUUUUAAAAUUCUUUUGAACAUUGCUAUUUUUAUUUAUUUUGUAAAAUAAAGUUUAUCCCAAAUAAAUUGCCUCCCUAAUUAAAUUGGAAAAAGAUUUGUAUAUGAUAUUAUAUAAAAGGCGGUGAAAAGUCCCAUAAUAAUUUCAAUUAAGAAAAGAAAUUCAACAAUGAGAAAAGUUUUUAUCAAAGUUAUUAGAUGUUCUUUAAUAAAUAUAAAUGGUAUAAGUCAUUAUUGCUUGAUUCUUUAAUAUUUUUGUGUGGAUGAAGAAAAAUUCAUGUGGAGAACGUGAUUGAGAUUUUGUGUCCAUUACAAGCGAGUUUGUAUUGAAUUUUAUUUCUAAUGCAUAAUAAUACUAUUUAUAUUGUUAAAGUUAAAUUAUUAGACGUUCUUCAACUAAUAUUCUUCUACGCUUUUAUUUAUAUGCAUUGUCUUUUUUUUUUGUCAGUUGGUGCUAAGAUUUGAUGUAUUUCUAAUGUCAUGAUUUGCUUGAUACUGGUGGUAUUGGUUUGAUACCUCAAUAUUGUCAUAUUAUUUUGUUGUAUUCUACUAUGUUACCUUCUACUGUUUUAGUUGUUAUUGUUUCUUUAUUGUAUUUCAGUAAUUACUUUUUUUAACGACUUUGGACUGUUUUUUCUUGGGUCGAAGUCCUUCAACAAGCUGAAGUAUGAAAACUUAACAAAUUGAUGAGUGUUUUCAUAUUGUGAGUAGUUGAGAGUAUUUGAAAUUAUAAAACUACCGAAUAUAUUGUUUUAUUGUAGUUUCUAUUAUAUUAUCAUCUAUUAUUUUAUUAUAAUCUAUUGUUUAUUGUACUUCUCUAAUUACUUCUUUAUUGAAUUACUUUGGACUGUUUUUUCUUGAGCUGAAGUCCUUCAUCAAGUUGAAGUGUGAAUACACUAUUAAUUGAUGAGUGUUUUCAUAUUGCGAGUAGUUGGGGGUAUCUGAAAUUUUAUAGAUGCCAGUAGAAUUCAUCAUUCACUUUUUUGAAUAUGCAAUUUAUUAUUUAUCUUCGAAUUUUGAGUUCUACUUAUUGAGUUUGCUUUAUUGUUUUUCCUUUUCCAGUUUAGUUUGUAUUUGAUUGACAUGUCAUGAAAUUUAUUUUGUGAAGUUUCAAUCUUGCAGAUUCUUGAAUAGACAUAUCUUGUUUAUGUUUUAGUACUCAUUAGAUGCUUAUUUUCAUAAAAUUUUAAUGGCUUUAACAAAUUUAUAAAUACAAUAUAAAUUAUACAUAAUAACAUUUUAUAUUAAUCAUAUAUUCAUUGAACACAUACAUGCGCAAAGCGAGUACAUCUAAACUAGUAUGUAUUAAGUAUGUAUGUGAGUAUGUAAUAUGUAUAUAAAUGCAUACUUUGAUUUUCUCUUAUUCUUUAAUGUCUAUAUAGAUAAACAAGUUUUGGUUGUUAAUAUGAAUUAUUUUCUAAAUUAUAAUUUAAAAUUCAUCAACAACAAUCAUUUGAUUUGUAACAAAUAUACAUCUACAACAUCAUAUCUAGUGAAAAUUUUUAAGUGAGGUCUGAGGAGGGUAGAGGUACACAAACCUUACCACUAUCUCGGUGAGGUAGAGAGAUUGUUUUCGAAAGACCAUCAACUAUUAAUUAUUUUGUAUACCUAUAUUGAAAUAUAUUUAUAAAAUUAUAAUACCUAUUAUUUUCAAGUAUAAAUAUAUAUUAGAGUUUUGAUUUUUAAUAAAAUUAAUUUUUACUAUUGCUCAUUUAUAAUAUUAUAGUUUGUCAUUAAAUUAUAUACUCAAUUAAUAUUUCACACUUUUAUUUUUUUAUCUUAAUAAUAAUUUUUAACCUUUAUACAAAAUAUGUUGUAUAGAUUAAAAAAUAAAAAAUAUUUUCAUAAAAAGUUCUUUUUCAAAUAAAAAAAGAUACAAAUGUUGAUAUAAAUAUAAGGGUUAAAUAGGUAUUUAAAAAAAAUCAAAUAGAAAAAAGGAGGGAGAAUGAUUAUUGUUCAAUGUUGAGGGGUUUUUGAUUUUUAUAGCAAAGUUCGGGGGUGUAAACAAUUUUAACUCUAAAAAUAUUUAAAGGUGUAUUUGGAACAAUGAAGUAAUAUUUUGUGAUAAAUGUAUUUUCUCAAAUUUUUUGACUGGAAAAUUUAUUUUCUCAUAAUUGAUUGGUGAGUUUGAAAGUAUUUUUUUAAAAAUAUAUACUAUAUACAAUUAUAAUACCAAUAAAUGUGAGAAUGUUUUGAUAAAAUCCUUUAGUAAUAAGAUAUUAAUGAUGUUUAAAUUUUAAUUAUAAAUAUCUAAAUAAUUCAUAUGUUUUUAAGGCCUAAAUAUAUAUUUACAUGAGGAUUAUUGACAUCAAUAUGACUAUUGAAAAAUAUUUGGGAGUAGUGAAUGAAUCCAGAAAAACAAAAAUAUAUUAAAUUGAUGUUGAUUAUGCAAGAUUUAGUUAUUCAUAUAUUAAUUACUUUAUCUUUUAUUCUGCAUAAAUAGUACAUAAGUUUUCUCAGAACUUAUACAUAUAUUAGUUAUACGCAUUUUUAAAUUGCAAAUCAAACAUCGUAUUAAUUUUAUACAUGAAUAAUUUACAUUCCAACCAGUGAGAUUUAAUAUCCGCAUAACUCACCUCCAAAUCAGCUACCAAACGCCCCAUUACAGAUAAAAUAAUAUUUUAAAACCUUAUGUGUGAAAAAAUAAAAAGUCUCGUAAAAGAAAAAAGAGAAAAUUUCUUAAAUAACAAACACGAGUCCAUAAUUAAUUUUUUUCGUAGCAACAUGUUGUUAAUUGUAUCCCGUAGCCACUCACAUCUUUCUUUUAUAUAUGAAAAAAUUACUUAAAACAUCACCUUAACUUUCCAUUAUUACUUAAAACCCAUCCCACUAAACUAAAUACAAAAAUCUUUUCUAACUCAUAAAAGUAGCUUAUUUAAAGAUACAUCACAAUUCACCCCUAUUACUUCACCUAUUGCGCCGCAAAUCUCACCAAAAAUUUAGGUAAUGUAUCCGGCUAUUUUCUAAGUAAAACUUUCGAUUGUUUUUAUUACAAUUUCUAUAAAUUAAUUUUCGUCCAUCUGUUAGACUAUUAUGCAUCAAAAGAUAUUUUACUCUUCAGCAAUGUAUCAUAUAAGCUAAUUGUUGUUUUAUAACUUAAUGUAAAUUAUAUAAUGUACCAGAUAUUUUCAAAAAUAAGUCAGGUAUAAUGCAAACUUAAUCACAGUGAUGUAUCUCAACCAAAAUAAUGUAAUGUAUCAGAAACUUAAAUUAAUAAUACAAUAGUAGAUAUAAUAUUAUUGUAUUUGCAUAUAAAGUUAUGUAUCAUAAGAUAUUUAGCUUUUAAUAUAAUGCAUCAGAUAAUUUUUACACAUAUAAAAUAUUAAGCACAUUAAAUAUAAUAAUGUAUUAGUAACCACAAAUAAGUGUAAUGUGUCAUGAAUUGUAGUGUAUCAUGAACUCAAUGUUAUUAAAUGAGAUAUUUGUUAUCAUAAUACAAUAUACAUAAGUUUUUACAUAAUAGGAAAACUUAUGAUAUUUGUUACCAUAAGUUAUUAUAUGACGUAUAUUAUGUAAUUUAAACAACAAUUUCUUUAAUUAAGCGCAUUAAUUGCUCAACUGUAAGUUUAAUUAUCGUUUCUUUCCAUUUUUAACCACAAUUAAACAUUCAUUAAUGUAUCAUAAACUAAUGAAUCAUGACGUUAACUAAUGUAUCAUAUCUGAAAUUUUAUGUAAUUAUUAUAAAAGUAGGGAGAGAGAAUAAUUAGGUAGUAAAGUAUUGGGAUUUAUGUUGUUUAUCCUUUAUAUAUACUCCUAUUCUUCAUGUUUUCUAUCUUUUCUCUCUAGCCUCUUUUUCUUUCAUAUAUAUUUUUUUUCUUGUAUUUUAUAUUUUAUAUUUUCAUAUUUCUCCCCAUCUCUCUCCCUUGCUCGUUUUUUUUUUCUUUUUCUUAUUUAUAUUUUGAAUUUUAUAUUUUCAUCUCUCUUUCUCUCUCUUGUUUUAUUUGUCUUUUAUAUUUUUUUUUUGUAUCAACUAAUGUAUUUUGUGUGAAUUUAUCAUUUUUAUUUAGAUGGUCCAAUCAUGAAUAUGUACCAUUUAUCAAUUAUAUUUGUAUAUAAACAAGUAUAUGAAUUACUUAUAUUUGUUUGUAAUGAAUUAUUUAAACAAACAUGUAAUGUAUUAUUUAAUACAAAUAUAUCGUUUCGAUUUGUAUGUCAAAUUUAUUAAUUGUUUUGUAUAUAAUCAUGUAUUAUUUGUAUAGUUAGAAUUGUAUAAACAUUUAUUUUCUGAUACAAAUAUAUUCUUUAAAUUUGUAUAGUUCAAUUGUCUUAAUAAACACAAUUCGUAUCAGUGAAUACAAAGACAAGUAUUUAUAGAAAGAAAACAAUUCUUUUUCAAUUAUUUAAAAAUAUAAAUAACGCAAUUAGUCAACUAUAAAUAUAAGUACAAAUAUAAAAGAAAUACAAAUAAUGCAGUCGACUACAAAUACAAACAUUUCAAGAGUUCGUUGAUAUGCAAAAUACAAAUAUUAGCCAUGAAAAUUUAGGUGGCACAAUAUUCAAUGAGAUUUGACCAUAGAGAGUUAGGACUUUUUACGUGAUUGGACAAAACCCAAAUGGAUAAUUGAAUAAAAUCUCAAAAAUGGAGGAGUAUGAGGCGACGUUAUGAUUUGGGAUACUCCUCGUAGGUAAUUCUUAGAUAAAGGAAUUGAGAGAUAUUGAAGAGUACCCAGGAUAUAAAGAAAAUGAACAAAAAGAGUAGGAGAAAAGUAAUCGAAAAAUAAGAAGAAAAUAGACAUAUAAGGUAAUUAAUGAAAAUGUUGUGCGGUAUAAUUAAAAUGUAAUUAAUAAAAUCUCUCUCUCUCUCUCUCUCUAUAUAUAUAUUAUAAAACAAAGGACGAAGCACUAGAAGAAGCCAUGUGGCAAAAUGCUGAGAAUCCAUGUGGCAGUUUUUAGGACAAUUUUAAAAGUAUUGUAAUAAGAUCUUUAUAAUUAGUUGAAUUUUAAAAUAUAAUAAAAUCUUUAUUAUAUAUUUGAAUUUGAAAAUAAUAAUACUUUUAAAUAAAAAUAAUAAAAAAUUUAUCAGCUUAAACCUAGCAACCAUAGUUGAAUAGUCUUAAAUAAACUCUAACUAUUUCAUAAUAAUAAUAAUAAUAAUAAUAAUAAUAAUAAUAAUAAUAAUAAUAAUAAUAAUAAUAAUAAUAAUAAUAAUAAUAAUAAUAAUAAUAAUAAUAAUAAUAAUAAUAAUAAUAAUAAUAAUAAAACUCAUAAUAUUACGCUUAGGGUGAUAUAUUUAUCAAAAAAUAUUUUAAAAAAUAUAAUAGUAAUAAUAGUAAUAACAAUAAAUAAUAAUAAUAAUUAUAGUAAUAAUAGUAGAAGACACGGAGCACUAAUUUUUUAAGUUAGAAAAAAAGUAUGUUGCGGUUAGCAGUAGUAGUUUUAAUAAUAAUAAUAAUAAUAAUAAUAAUAAUAAUAAUAAUAAUAAUAAUAAUAAUAAUAAUAAUAAUAAUAAUAAUAAUAAUAAUAAUAAUAAUAAUAAUAAUAAUAAUAAUAAUAAUAAUAAUAAUAAUUUAUUGAAGAGAAAAUCUUAUAUUAUUAUUUUUUAAAAAAUAUUUGAAUGUGAAAAUAAUAUGUUUUUAGAUUUAAAAAAUAACAUAUUUUCAUUAGCUUAAAACUAGGAAAUCAUGAGUGGAGAGUAGUAAAUACAUAAAUUUAAACUUUUUAAAUGCUAUAAAAUAUAUUUAUAUAUUAAAUAUAAAAUAAUAAUUUUUAAAAUUAUCAUUAUUAUCUCAUUAACUUAAGAUAUUUAUCUCAAUUCAAAUAUAUCGAUAAGAUAACUAUAUAUUACAUUUGAAAAAGGAAGGAUAAGAAAGCCUAAUAAACUAGAUAACUAUGAUAGUGUUUGAAUUUAAACAAAAUUUGAAUUGGAAUGAAAUUCCAGAUUCUUAGGUUCUCUUAUAUAUAAUCCCAUAUAUAUAUCAUUAGCUUUAUUUGGAAUGAAUUUAUUUACUGCAUUUUUUAAUUCUUCAUAUUUUAAAAACUAUUUUUGAUUGAAAGAAUAUGUCAUUUUUCAUCUUUAUUUUCCUCCAUUAAUAUUCAAGGUACAUCAAUUUAAUCAAUCUGUUUUUCUUAAAUUUAUAAAAUUCAAUCUUUUGUUGUUUUUGAACAAUAUAUAUACAUGCAUUACAUGCUUUAUUAGGUACUAAACUAUCUGAAAAUUACAAUAUGUGAAUGUUCAUGGUGCCAUGACAAAUAAUAUUUUGUAUAAUAAUUGUAUAUCGUACUUUUCAUCUAUUUUUACUUUUUAGAUCCAUGAAUCUUGAUCAUUUCAGGUUACAAAACAAAUAUGUUUUUGAUUCUACAACAGCUAAUUUUUUUUCGAUUUGAUAAAUAUUAUUUUUACAAAAGUACUAUCAUUUAUAUAUAGAUUUUUUAUUUACCAAAAAAAAAUUCAAGAUUUUGUGCACCAUCAUUCUUAUCUUUUAUCACUGAGUUUUUAAUGAUUUUAUGGAUGUGUUCAUUAUGAAGAAAUAUAAUUUUUAGGAAAAAUAUUUUUUUAAGAAAAUAAAUUAUUUCUUACUUAUAUUUUUUGUUCGCGACGCAAAUAAAAAUAUUUUGUAAAAGCAUAUAUAUACUCUAAUACUAAACAAUAAAAAUGAAUAGUGGCAAAAAGAUGAAUAUAGUCAGAGUGAAUUAGAAAAGGUGGGGAUAAUGUAAGGGGGUGGUCUAGGUGGGUGGAGGGUAGGGGGUGGUGAAUUCAGGUUUAGUUGAGGUGGAUAGGAAAAAAGAUUCUUAAAAAUAUAAAUUAAAGAGUUUAAAAUUUUUUUGGGUUAGAAAAAAGAAAUCUAAAAAUAAAAUAAUUUAUUUUUUUAGGGGGGAGGGGUGCUAAGAAAAAAGUUUCUUUUUUAAAAUUAAAAUAAAUAAUUUUUAGCUGUUGAGGGGAGUCAGGAGUGUGAACUGGGGGUAGGGGGUUGGGUAGGGUAAGAAAAAAAAUUUAAAAGUUAUAAAAUAUAAAAUAAAAAUUGGGGGUGAGGAGAUGAAUGAUUUUGAGAGUAGUAUGAGAGAUUUUAACUAAAUUUAUUUAAAAGAUAUAAGAAUACAAAUAAAUAAAAUACUUAGAAAUAUUAGUGAUAAAAUCAAACAAUGAAAAAAAUUAUGAGCAAUUAAACUUUAUUUGAAAAUUGAAAAAGGUAUUAAAUUGUAUGUGCUUUGUUUAUUGAACCAAGAGUGUUGAAAUUUAAAUUUUGAAAUUAGAGUUUUUGUAAUUGUCACAAUUAAGUGUUUUGAAAUGAAAGUGAAAGAUAAAAUCUUUUUAUAAAAGAAAUGUAGUUAGUUGUUGAAGUUGAAUUGAUAGAUUAAAAUAAAAAAAAUGAAAAUGUGAAAUGAAAGUAAGUAUUGUAAUUACAUGCCUUAAUUUAUUAAAAAUAUAAGAUAAAAUCCCAAUAACAAAAUUAAUAAUUAUUUAAUAUUAAAUAAUUUAUUAUAUUUAAAAUUAAAGAGGAGGCUGGGGUGGAGAUGGUUAGGGUUUGAUUUGUUUUUUUACUAAAUUAUUUUUUUUAUUGGUAAAUAAUAUGAUACUUAAUUUUUUUAAGGUAAUAUGCUUUAGUAUGCUGGAACGAGAUAUGUCAAUAUAAAAUAAUUAAAAAUAUUAUUUUAAUAUUAUUCGUGCAUCGCACGGGUACGUAUACUAGUAGUUUUAAAAAGAGAGGACAAAGCCUCUACAUCAAGCCAAGUGGCAGUCCAAAAAUAAGUCACUUGAUAGUUUAGAACAAAAUAUAAUUAGAAUAGUUAUUAGUUGCUACUAUUUUUAAUUUGCUUUUAACAUUUUAAAAAUAAAUUUAAAUUUUGGCAGAAUUUACAGUUGGCAGUUUUUUAAAAAUUCAAAUUUUAAUAAUUAUAUAGAUGUUUUAGUCCUAAUAUACUGCCAACUUCCAUUUAUUUUUAAAAUUUGAAACUUAUACAACUUCUUACACUUACUAGAUUAUCCUUUAAUCUUUAAAUUAGAUUCUAAUUAUACUUUUGAUGUAAAAUAAUUUUACGUAAAAAAAAAAUCAGUUACAACUUCUACGAUUUUUUUUCUCUUAUGUUGAUCACCUUUUACGAUAUUUGUUUCAAAAUCCAACAACAUCUAUGGCUACGUGAAAUAACCAAUGUUCUAAGAAAACUCUCUUCUACCUCGAAAUCAUCUGGAAUGUAUGGAUGUUUGCUUUUCAAAUGGCAAACAUGAUCUACUGUUCUGAUAUUGCUCAAGGACACAGGUAACUAUUAGUUAGUAUAUUGCUAGUUUACCUACUUGAUACGACGUUAACUUAUUAAUCUUGAAAUAGCAGUAAUUAUACAAGCAAUACAUACCAAUAUUACUACCCAUAAUAAAAACUUCAUUAACCCAAACAAAUCUUUCUGUAUUAAAGCAAUAUUUACAGAAUAGGUGCUACGAUUUUCUCUCUUAUGCAUCCAAAUAUUGUAGUAUCGGAUAGAAGCAUCAUAGCUACUAUAUUCUAUGAUGAUUCUUUUGGAAAUUUUGAAUAGUACUAUUGUGAUUAUAUUAUUUGUGCCUAUUUCAAAUCUAAUCCGCAUUUUAUUCAAGUUGAAUAUUUGAAUAAAACAUAUAUAUUUUUAAGAUAUUAUUCGAACUUUUUUAAAAUUAUGUGUUUAGGAGUAGCCAUGACAUCUUUUGUACUUGCUAGUGAUUAUAUUAUGCAUAAUUAUGAUUAUGAUUACAUUAAUUAUUAAUAUUGGUGAAAUAGAAAUAAUGAGAAAGAAGAGUGGGAGGAAAAUAGUUGUUUUUAGGAUAAUGGACACAAAUUGAGAAGAGAAGGGGAAAUAAUCGAACACUAAGCAGAGGGUAAAAGUUUAUUCACACCCGAUGUUUAUAUCAAGUUAAUACACGCAUGUCAUGUAUUUAAAUUUAGAAUUCAUUUUACUUAAUUAUAAGUAAUUAACAUAUAUUUUAUUUUACUAAUUAAGGUGUUACUAGAUUGUUUUAUUGGACUGUGUCUGAUUACUUCAACGAGUUGUUUCCUUAAUGUAGUACAACACAUUGAGAGUUGUUGAGACUUGAAGCUAUUUUUCAAGAUCCAGAUUGGUUACUGUUGGGUUCAAUUGGAGUGAAUGGAAAAUGGAGGGACACAACCUUUUGAGGAAAAGACACAUUAUUUUGGAAAAGGAGUGGCUGUUCGGAUAGUUGUGUCUGUUCAAAAAAAGACACAAUAUUUUGAAUGAACAGACAUGACUCUUCCAAAUAAUACACCUUUUCGGAUGAACCAUUGCCACCUUUUAGAAGGGGCACAUUAUAGCUAUAUAAACCUAUAUUUUUUCCACAGGUUUAGAAUGAAAAAAUUUCUGCAUAAGAAAAAUAUUCUCUUGCUUCUAAAAACUCUGUGAGAUCAUCUCCCGUUGAGUGAGUUAGAAGAAAACCAGAAAGUUAGAGGUACCGCUACAUUCUGGUUGUGAAGUCAUUUUAUCCUGGGAGGAAAAUUUUGCAACCUUGGGUACUCGAGGGGAAUUAUUUCCUCAAGAGCACUCCGUGAAUUCAGAGGACAUGACUUUUUUCUGUUUCAUCUAUUUUUCUUUAAGAAACUGAAAACAUACUUCUUUGAAAGAUCAUUUUGAUCUUGUGUUGAAGGUGUUGGACAACUUCAUAAGUGUUCUUGAUUUAUUCUUGAACUUGUGUUGAAGUAGUGUUGAAAAUACAGAUUUUGUGUACCUGAAAAAUAACAAUCUUAAGGAAAUAAUAUUACUAAUCUGUAUUGUUUCGUUUACUAUUUUUUCAGUAAAUAGUUGAACUUCAUAUUGAUAGUUCUUCAACCUUUUGAACUUGUGUUUGAAGUUCUUGAAACUUUAUUUUGAUAGCUCAUAAGUUGGUUGAACUUGUGUUGAAGUUCUUAACAUUUGAUUUUGCUAUUUUUCAGAAAAUAGUUUGAACUUCAUUUUGUUGAUGUUUAUAAGUUGGGUUGAACUUAUUGUUAAAAGUUAAAAGUUGUAAAUAUAGAGUUAAAACUUCAUUUGAUUGUUCAUAUGUUAAUUUGAACAUGUGUUUGAAGUUAUUAUUGAAAAAUACAGAUUUUAUCAAAAUUGAGAAAAACAACAAUCUUAAGGAAAUAACUUUUGAAAAAAUAGUAUUUUUUUUUGCUUGUUUAGUGAAAUUUUCUUUUCACUAAAGUUUUUUUUUCGGAAUCUGUAUUGCUUGGUUUCUGGAGAUUAAACCUUUUAGCUUUCUACUCCGUUUGAACUUAACUGGUGAUUUGAAGAAAUAAAAAAUCUUCAUCACAAGUUAAAGAUCACUUGGUUGACGAUUGGAAGUCAUAAAAACUUCAUCAUUAAACUAGAAACAAGAGGUGUUUAAAGUUGCUCCAACUUUAUUAAUAGUAUUUUGAUAUACUAAAGUUACUGUCUUGUUAUGAUAGGAAAGUGACUAUGGAUAGUCAAGUGCAUGAUGUUGCAACGACAGUGGCUGCAACUAGUGUUGCCACAACGAGUCGUACAAAUGCUCCGCCGACAAUGGCACCAACGAAGAAACCCAAAAAGUUCGCGGGUAUUAACUUCAAAAGGUGACAGCAAAAAAUAUUUUUCUACCUUACAACUCUUUGUCUUCAAAGGUUCACAUUUGAGGAAGCUGUAGAGGUGCCCGAGAGAACCUCUGAACAAGAGCGAUUUGUGAUUGUGGAGGCUUGGAAACACUUAGAUUUCCUUUGCAGGAACUACAUCUUGAUUGGUCUCCAAGAUGAUCUCUACAAUAUGUAUAGUGGAGCAAAGACAACAAAAGAGUUGUAGGGAGCGCUGGAACGAAAGUACAGGACAGAGGAUGCAGGAACUAAAAAGUUCUUCGUUGUAAGAUUUUUGGAAUAUAAAAUGAUAGACAACAAGUCGUUGUCUCCCAAGUGAAGAAAUUCAAGAGAAAGUGCUUUAACUGCGGCAAGAUUGGCCACAAGUCUACGGAUUGUCGUGCUCCAAAAAAAGGCAAGAAAAAAGACCAAGCAAAUAUGGCUGAGUCCAAGAAAAAAAUGAACGAUCUGUGUGCUAUGUUGUUCGAAUGCAACUUAGUGGAAAAUCCUUGUGAAUGGUGGAUAGAUUUCAAUGCCACCCACCAUGUUUGCGCUAAUAAGGAGUUAUUUGCUAAUUUUUCUCCGGUUUAAGGGGAAGAAAAUAUCUUUAUGGCUAACUCCGCUACUGCAAAAGUAGAAGGAACAGGAACAGUAUGCUUAAAAAUGACAUCAGGCAAAGUGUUGACACUCAAUAAUGUCUUGUAUGUACCAGAGUUAAGAAAGAACUUGAUUUCUGUAUCACUUCUAGACAAGAACGGAUUUAAAUAUGUAUUUGUGUCCGAAAAAGUUCUACUUAGUAAAAGAGAAGUUUAUGUAGGAAAAGGCUACCUCAAUGAGGGCCUAUUUAAAAUGAAUGUAAUAAAUGUUGAAAUCAAUAAAAGUUCAGUUUCUUCUUACUUGCUUGAGUCUUAUGAUUUAUGGCAUGAACGAUUAGGCUAUGUUAAUUACAAAACAUUGAAAAAAUUAAUUAACUUAGAAGUUUUUUCAAACUUUGAGUGCAAUAAAUCAAAAUGUCAAACGUGUGUGGAAUCAAAGUAUGCUAAGCAUCUGUAUAAGUCCGUUGAAAGAAUUCCAAUCUCUUAGACUUAAUCCACACUUACAUUUAUGAUAUGAAGUCAACACCAUCUCGUGGUGGAAAAAAGUAUUUUAUAACUUUUAUUGAAGAUUGCACUAGAUAUUGUUAUGUCUAUUUGCUAAAUAGUAAGGAUGAAGCAAUAACUGCGUUUAGGCAAUAUAAAACUGAAGUUGAUAAUCAGUUAGAGAAAAAUAUCGAAACGAUAAGAAGUGAUAGGGGCGGAGAAUUUAUAUCUCCCUUUGCGAAAAUAUGUGUAAAGAAUAAAAUUAUCCAUCAAACUACAACCCCGUAUUCACCUCAAUCUAAUGGAAUUGCGGAAAGGAAAAAUCGAACCUUGAAAAAAAUAAUGAAUGCCUUACUUAUUCAGGUUUACAACAAAACUUAUGGGGGAAAGCUAUCCUUACGGCUAACCGAAUACUCAAUACAGUGCCCCAUAGUAAGACACAAUCAAUUACAUAUAAAAAAUAGAAAGAAAGAAAACCCAACUUGAAAUAUUUCAAAGUUUGAGAGUGUCUAGCGAAGGUCCAAGUUCCUAUGCCUAAAAGUGUAAGGAUAGGACCUAAGACGGUGGACUGCGUGUUCAUAGGAUAUGCUAAAAGUAGCAAAGCAUGUUGGUUUUUGGUUCAUAAGUCCUAACAUCCGGAUAUCAAUGAAAAUAUGAUAAUUGAAUCAGAUAAUGCUGAAUUGGUUAAAAAUAAUUAUUCGUAUAAAACUAGACAUGAACAGUCUAGUGGGGGGUCUAAACGACCUCAAAAUGAACCAAGUGAGGAUAUACAUAAUGAUGAGAAUCCAAGGCGUAGUACAGUCAAAGAAUGGCAACUUCGUUUGGAUCGAAUUUUGUAACAUUUCUCUUAGAAAAUGAACCUCAAACAUUUAAAGAAGCGAUGGGUCUUCGGACUCAUCCUUUUAGAAAGAGGCAGUCGAUAGUGAGAUUGAUUUAAUCUUAAACAACCAUAUAUAGGAGUUGGUUGAUCUUCCUCCAGGAAAAAAACCUUUAGGUUCUAAAUGGAUCUUCAAAAGGAAAAUGAAAGCGGAUGGUACUAUUGACAAAUACAAGGCAAUACUCAUAGUAAAAGGCUUUAAGCAGAAAAAAGGCCUUGAUUACUUUGAUACAUACUCGCCAGUAACAAGGAUAACGUUGAUUCGAAUGUUAAUUGCCCUGACGGCGGUAUAUGAUCUUAAAAUCCAUCAAAUAGAUGUGAAAAUCACAUUUCUAAAUGGAGAAUUGGAGGAAGAAAUUUACAUGGAACAACCUGAGGGUUUUGUGAUUUCAGGAAAAGAAAAUAAGGUGUAUAAAAAUGUUAAGUCACUUUAUGGACUAAAACAAACACCUAAACAAUGGCAUGUGAAGUUUGACCAAACCAUGUUGGCAAACAUAUUCAAGAUUAAUAAAUGUAAUAAAUGUGUGUAUAUUAAAGACACUCCAAAUCAACAAGUCAUUGUGUGUUUAUAUGUGGAUGAUAUGUUGAUUAGCAGUAGAGACAUUUCUGACAUAAAUGCAACAAAACGAAUGCUCAAGAGCAAAUUUAAUAUGAAAGACCUUGGAAUUGCGGAUGUGAUCUUAGGGAUAAGAAUCCAUAGAACUCCACAAGGGUUGGCAUUGUCACAGUCUCAUUAUAUUGAAAAGGUACUUUACAAAUUCAAGUAUUUGAAAUUUGGUAUUGCCAAGGCUGCAUUGGACGUGAGCUUUCCACUUCAAAAGAAUGAAGGUGAAAGUGACUCAUAGUUGGAGUACGCAAGAGUGUUGGGAUGUUUAAUGUAUAUCAUGAAUUGUACAUGACCAGACAUAACAUGUGUCAUUAACAAGUUGAGUCGGUACAAUAAUAAUCCCAAUAAAACUCAUUGGAUGGAAAUGAAAAGAGUUUUGGGGUAUCUUAAAUACACUCAAGACUAUGCUUUUCAUUAUAAUAAAUAUCCCUCGGUACUUGAAGGAUAUAGUGAUGCAAAUUGGAUCACCGGAUCGAAUAAAGUAAAAUCCACGAGUAGAUAUGUAUUUACUAUUAGUGGAGGAGCGAUCUUUUGGAAAUCUUCCAAAUAAACAUGGAUCGCUCGCUCUACAAUGGAAUCUGAAUUUAUCGCAUUGGAUAAAGCCGGUGAUGAAGCAAAAUGACUUUGAAAUUUCUUUUAAGAUAUUCCUUAUUGGCCCAAACCAGUGACACCAGUAUGUAUACACUGUGAUAGCCAAGCGACAAUAGGUAGGGCAGGGAGAAUGAUGUACAAUGAUAAAUCUCGUCACAUAAGAUGGAGAAAUAAUACCGUUAGAGAACUUCUCUCUUGUGGAAUUAUCACUGUUGACUAUGUGAAGUCAGAAUAAUGUGUCAGAUCUACUUACAAAAGGCCUAUCUAGAGAAGAAGUUGAGAGAACAUUCAAGGAAAUAGGUUUAAGGCCUAGGACAAGUAAGCAUGACGGUAACUCUACCUAGCAUCCUGGAGAUCCCAAGAGCUAGGUUCAAGGAGAUCAAACAAAGUUGUGUCUGACAGGUUCAAUAUUAUCAAUAUACCCAAUUCAUUCUCAUGAUGUAGACAAUGUUUAGUAAACAAGGAUAAGACUUAUGGUGUAAAGUCUUAUAAUGAUUAUCUAAAUUUGGAAGAUUGAUCAAAUAGUUUAAUCUACAGGAUUGAACGUUUAGAAAUUACCUAUGUGAGGGCAAAGUUGAAGCCGCUUCAAAGAGAAUGUUAGUAAAGGCCUAUUCUCUUAGCUCUUAUGAGACCGAAACGUAUUCAUGGCUGAAACGAAUAAAAUUGUGAGAACCAUAAAUGAUAAAAGGAUAGUUGUGUGACAUAUGUUGUCUAGUGUACAUUAAAGCUUGACGGUUCAAAGAUAUCAAAUCUAUCGAUUGACCGAGUGCAUCCGAUGCAUGUUCACUAUGGAAAGUUCAAAGGGAAACCUAUUUAUCCAGAUGCAAUCAGUCUUUGAUUGAUGAUCACAUACUUGUCUGUAAAAUUUUACAAAGAAUAGCCAUUCCCCAUUCAUGUGGGAGAUUGGUGGGUUCAAUUGGUAUGAAUGGAAAAUGGAGGGACACAACCCUUUGAGGAAAAGACACAUUGUUUUGGAAAAUGAGUGACUGUUCAUAUAGUUGUAUCUGUUCAGAAAAAGACAUAAUAUUUUGAAUGAACAUACAAGACUCUUUUAAAGGAUACACCUUUUCGGAUGAAUUAUUGCCACCUUUCGGAAGGGGCACUUUAUGGCUAUAUAAACUUGAAUUUUUUUCACAGGUUUAGAAUGAAAAAAUUUCUGUAUAACAAAAAUAUUCUCUUGCUUCUAAAAAAUCUGUGUGAUCAUCUCCCGUUGAGUGAGUUCGAAGAAAACUAAAAAGUUAGAGGUACCACUACAUUCUGGUUGUGAAACCAUUUUAUCCUGGGAGGAAAAUUCUGCAACCUCGGGUAUUUGAGUGGAAUUAUUUCCUUAAGGAAACUCCAUAAAUUCGAAGGACUUGGCUUUUUUCUGUUUCAUUUAUUUUUCUUUAAGAAGCUGAAAACAUAAUUCUUUGAAAGAUCAUUUUGAUCUUUUGUUGAAGGUGUUGGACAACUUCAUAAGUGUUCUUGAUUUAUUUUUGAACUUGUGUUGAAGUAGUGUUCCAAAAAUACAGAUUUUGUGUACCCAAAAAACAACAGUUACAUGUCAGUUAGCUGUAAAUUUCAUACUUGAGUUGCUAUUCUGUUUGGAUUAGACUGUGUCAUGAUUAACGAAUCAAAUAAUCCAACAUGACGAGUACGUAACAUUCUAUCUAAAUUCAGGGUCUAUCAGAAAUAACCUCUCUAUCCCUAUGAGGUAGUUUUAAGGUCUGCAUAUACUCUACCCUCACUAGACUCCACCUAUGAAAUUACACUAGGUAUGUCAUUAUUGAUAAGUAGCAUUCUAAAAGAUCGAAACUUUGUACCAAGGAAUUUGUAAAAAAAUAAAAGGGCGUGGUGUCUCCUUUAUUAGUUGAAACUUCAUUGAAACUUUAAGAACCAAACUAGAGACAUGAAACAUCAAUUGCAAUAUUGCUUCCCAAGUGUCUGUUGUGAGUUACUUUUAACCCUACGCAUAUCGGGAGCUUUAGUGCACUGCGCUGCCCUUUUACUAAGUAACACAAAUUUUUGAUUACUCUUUUCUUAUUUGAUUUUAGAAUGCGUGGUCUCUUUUUAAUUUUGGUGUCAAAUUUCAAAUUGCUUCAACGGGCAUUCCCAUAAGAGGUUGCAAUUUUUAGAGAUUUGAGAGUGCUGCUCUUAGGGCAUAUUUAGAGGAUUUUCUUUCUUUUUUUCUUCCUUUAUGUCCAAAAUAUUAAAGAGUUCUUUAACCUUUGGCUUUUUUCCUUAUUGAUUUUGCACAUUCAUUGAUAAUUUUGUGUCUCCUUCAAUAGUUGCCACUUAAUAAGCUAUGCAUGAACAAGAUGACGUGACACUACUCUUGCAUUUUGGGAGGCAUUUUCUAAUAUUCCUACGUAUUAUUCCUUUUUGGCAUUCCCUGUCUCUUGUAUGAAAACAUACACUAAUUUGUUUUAGAGAAACUCUAAAUUGAGUCUUGUGAGAAAACUAAAGUUGUAACUCUUCAACUUUAUGUAGUUAACAUUGUGUUUUUUGAUGUUUAUGUUUUUUUUUUAAAAAAUAUUUCUUUAGUCUGUUUAAUGGAUAGUAGUCCAAUUUCUAAUUUAGUGUUUGGUUAUCUAAUGAAUUUUCAGUGAUCUUUUCAUUCUUCAACGUAUAUAUGCUCAUUUCUUUCUUCCCAUAUGCUAUAAUCUUUUGCUUAAUUUGUUUUAGUAUAACAUUAUGGUAACUGGUAAGGAGAUCUCAUUUUGUUUAUUGAGUACUAAUAAAUUUUGUUUUAUACCCUGUCUUAAAAGGGCAGUCCGGUGCACUAAAACUACCUCUAUGCGCGGUGUCCGGAAAAGGGCCCCACCACAAGGGUGUAUCAUACGCAACCUUACCUUGCAUUUCGGCCAGAGACUGUAAACCUUGUCUUAAUCCUAGAUUUUAAAUUUCUGAUCUUUAUAUGAAUUUAAGAAAACACCAUCAAUAGAAUUACUUUAAACACUACUUUGGUGUUACAAAUUGUCUCGGUGUAACUUCUGUAAACAUCGAGCGCCAACACUAUUUGCUUUAUUAUUUUUCCCUUGGAAGAGUAGGUUAUCGGAAACUGCAAAUUCAAAUCAGAUUAAUCAACUUUAUCAAGGCUUAGGUUCUUUGGAACAUUUUUUUUUUUUUUUUUUUUUACAAUUUUAGAAAAGAUAAUUUUAGCACUUUUUCUUUAUUUUAGUAUCUCGAGCCGAAGUUCUUUUGAAAACUGUCUCUCCUCAAAGUAGAGUUAAGAUUUGUGUACAUUCUAUUAUCCUGAAAUUCACUUACAGGAUUUCACUUAAUAUAUUGGCUUUUAAGCACUGGUGUAAUUUGUUUAGAGAAUAUGAAUUUCAUAAGCAUCAAGUUGAUGAAAAAUAAAGCGCUUCGUCCAAUACGGAGUAUCAGAAUAAUAUGUCUACAAUGGAAUUAAAGGUAACUUUUUUUAUUUAAUUAUCAAAUUUGGUAUAUCAACCUUUUCCUUACAAUUAAAUUAUUCUCUAUAAUUGCCACAAGGUGUCUCAGCGGUCAACGAAGUGGGUUGAGAACAUGAAUGUCUCGGGUUCAAACCCCGACAGAGAUAAAAAAACAAGGUGAUUCUUCCCAUAUGUUCUAGCAUUGGUGGAUAGAAUCUGGUGGGAGGUGUUAGGUAUCCCGUGUAUAUAGUCAAGGUGCGCAUAAGCUGGCUAGGCACCAUGAUUAUCAAAAAUAUUAUUCUCUGUAAUUUAAUGUUUUUGUUUUGGUUACAAGAGAAUUCAUGUUUGGUUAAACAACAUUAAAAGCAUUCUUUAUAAUCUUCAAAUUUACGGGUGCUAUUCCAACUGAAAAUUAGUUCUAUGAUUAAUUUUCUUAGAUUUAUUUGAAACCUGUUAUUGAAUUCAGGAUAUGAUUUUACUUAAUGGUGUAUGUUGCAAAAUGAAGUGAUUUUACUGGUUAUAUGUAUCAAAAAGGAUGUUCAGAAGUAAUGAAUAAGAUAUACAUCACCGAUUCUAUUUUUUAAAACAUAAAUGCAGAACUUUUAGCUAUAACUUUGAUAAGAACAAUUACAAAUUUCAACUAAAAACUACAAGCAGGUGAAUAUUUGAGUUUACAAUCGUAAUAAGUUUAUAUACUUGGCCAAAAUUUCAAUUAUAAAUUAAGUCUUUUAUACUUUCCGCGCAUCGUGCAGGUACUACACUAGUGGUAACUAGGUUCCUUAAUUAAAUGCGUAGAAAUAUAUGAAAUAAAUGUAUUAGAGUAAAAUUGAUGGAGACCAUCUAAAAUGAUGCUAUAUUUGUUGGUUAGCAAUUUUUUAAAAAUUGUUGGUAUAGUAAGGGCUUAUGUUUCUUAUGUCACGUAAUUUUUUUUAUCAAAGAAACAUAAAAUCAAAAUUAAAACAUGUUUGUGAAAGGUUACAGAACCAAAUCUUUCUCUAAGUGCUUACUAAAAAGGUCACAUAUUCAAAAGUUAAAAUCUCUUGACCACUUGUAAAAUGAAUAGAUAAAAGUAUUUUUUUAUAUUUGUUUUAAGUGUAAAAAUGAAAAUCUAUUGAAAAGAUUAUAAAACUAAAAAAAUAAAUAAAAUAUAAAUUUCCAAAAAAAAAAUCAACUAUCCCCGCAUAUUAGCAAGUCAUUAAAAAUUAAAGUGUUCUUCUUGGUUUGCUCUUAUUAAUUUUUUUUUUACUUGUUCAAUUUAUUUAUUUUUAUUUGAUGAAAAAGAAAUUGAUUUAAAUUGAUAUUGGUGUUUUUUUUUUUUUUUUUUAAAGUAUUAAGACCAAUUCUAGUAUUUAGAUUAAUUAUUUUAAUCCUUAAUUUACUCCUGCCUCAAUAUGACCACCUUUCAUCUAAUACUUUUAGGAAAACGGAUAAUUUUUCAGUCAAAUUCUUUUUUCAUAAUACAAAUCAUUAUAGCAUAAAACCUUAAACCGAAUUUGAAAAGGUUAAGUUCCAAAUACAAUCCAAUUAGAAUAAGGAUUAGGUUCAGUUCUGCCCUGCUAUGUAUUGCUAUCCAUUAUAUCAACAUCCUAAUACACCUUAUUAAUUCCACCACUUUGUGCUGCCUGUUUAAUAGGUGUGAAUAAAAAAUGGAGGGACACAAUUUUUGAGGAAAAAACAUAUUAUUUUAGAAAAUAAGUGACUAUUCAGAUAGUUGUUUCUGUUCAGUUAAAGACACAAUGUUUCGAAUGAACAGACAUGACUCUUCCAAAGGAUACACCUUUUCGGAUGAACCAUUGUCACCUUUCGGAAGGGGCACUUGAUGACUAUAUAAACCUUCUUUUAUCCACAGGUUUAGGAAUGAAAAAAAUAAUAAUUCUGAAAUACAAACUCUUCUUGUCUUCAAAACAUUCCUUGUGAUCAAUCAAAUCGUUGAGUGAGUUCGACGAAUCCAAUUAUUGAGGUACCAGUAUAGUUGGAUUGAAAGACCAUUUAUCCUGGGAGGAAGAUUCCAAAACCUCGAGUACAGUGAGGGGAAUUAUUCCUUAAGGACACUCCAUGAAUUCGGGGGACUUGGCUUUACAUUUCUGUUUCAUCUUAAUUUCUGAAAAAAUAAAACACACUUCUUAGAAAGACCACUUUGAUCUUGUGUUGAGUGUGUUGUUGUACUUCAUAGUGUUCUUGUUUUAAAGAAAAUGAUGAAUGUCUUACUUAUAAGUUCAGGUUUACCGCAAAACUUGUGGGGGAGGCUAUCCUUACAGCAAACCGAAUACUCAAUAGAGUUCCCUAUAGUAAGACACAAUCAAUCCCUUAUGAAAAAUGGAAAGAAAGAAAACCCAACUUGAAAUAUUUCAAAGUGUGGGGGUGUCUAGCAAAGGUCCAAGUUCCUAUACCUAAAAAGGUUAAGAUAGGACCUAAGACGGUGGACUGCGUGUUCAUAGGAUAUGCUAAAACUAGUAAAGCAUGUCGGUUUUUUGUUCAUAAAUUCGAACAUCCGGAUAUUAAUGAAAAUACGGUAAUUGAAUCAGAUAACGCUGAAUUCUUUGAAAAUAAUUAUCCGUAUAAAACUAGACAUGAACAGUCUAGUGGAGGGUCUAAAUGAUCUCGAGAUGAACGAAGUGAGAAUGCACAUAAUGAUGAGAAUCCAAGACGUAGUACCCGUCAAAGAACGUCAACUUCAUUUGGAUCGGAUUUUGUAACAUUUCUCUUAGAAAAUGAACCUCAAACAUUUAAGGAAGCGAUGACGUCUUCGGACUCAUUCUUUUGGAAAGAGGCAGUCGAUAGUAAGAUUGAUUCAAUCUUAAGCAACCAUACAUGGGAGUUAGUUGAUCUUUCUCUAGGAAACAAAUCUUUAGGAUCUAAAUGGAUCUUCAAAAGAAAAAUGAAAUCGGAUGGUACUAUUGACAAAUACAAGGCAAGUCUUGUAGUAAAAGGCUUCAAACAAAAAGAAGGCCUUGAUUACUUUGAUACAUACUCACCGGUAACAAGGAUAAUGUCGAUUCGAAUGUUAAUUGCCUUGGCGGCGGUAUAUGAUCUUGAAAUCCAUCAAAUGGAUGAGAAAAUCGCAUUCCUAAAUGGAGAAUUGGAGGAAGAAAUUUAAAUGGAACAACCUGAGGGUUUUGUGGUUCCAAGAAAAGAAAAUAAGGUGUGUAAACUUGUUAAGUCACUUUAUGGACUAAAACAAGAACCUAAGCAAUGACAUGCAAAGUUUGACCAAACCAUGUUGACAAACGGAUUUAAAAUUAAUGAAUGUGAUAAAAUGUGUUUAAUUAAAGACACUCCAAAUCACCAAGUCAUUGUGUGUUUAUAUUUGGAUGAUAUGUUGAUCAUUAGUAGAGACAUUUCAGACAUAAAUGCAAUGAAACGAAUGCACGAAAGCAAGUUCGAUAUGGAAAACCUUGGAGUUGUGGAUGUGAUCUUAGGGAUAAGAAUCCAUAGAACUCCACAAGGGUUGACAUUGUCAUAGUCUCAUUACAUCGAAAAGGUACUUGACAAAUUCAAGUAUAUAAAAUUUGGUAUUGCCAAGACUCCAUUGGAUGUGAGCUUUGCACUUCGAAAGAAUGAAGGUGAAAGUGACUCAUAAUUGGAGUACGCAAGAGUAUUGGGAUGUCUAAUAUAUAUAAUAAAUUGUACACGACCAGACAUAGUAUGCGCUAUUGGUAAGUUAAGUCGGUACACGAGUAAUCCCAACAAAACUUAUUGGUUGGCAAUGGAAAGAGUUUUGGGGUAUCUCAAAUACACUCAAGACUACGCUUUGCAUUAUAAUAAAUAUCCCACGGUACUUGAAGGAUAUAGUGAUGCAAAUUGGAUCACCAGAUUGAACAAAGUAAAAUCCACGAGUGGAUAUGUAUUUACUAUCAGUGGAGGAGCGGUCUCUUGGAAAUCAUCCAAAUAGACUUGUAUUGCUCGCUCUACAAUGGAAUCUGAAUUUAUCGCAUUGGAUAAAACCGGUGAAGAAGCAGAAUGACUCUGGAAUUUCUUAGAAGAUAUUUCUUAUUGGCCCAAACCAGUGGCACCAGUAUGUAUACACUGCGAUAGCCAAAUGAGGAUAGAAAGGGCAGGAGCAUGAUGUACAACGAUAAAUCUCAUCACAUAAGAUGGAGACAUAAUAUCCUUAGAGAAUUUCUCUCUAGUUGAAUUAUCACUGUUGACUAUGUGAAGUCAAAGGAUAAUGUGUCGAAUCCACUUACAAAAGGCCUAUCUUGGUUAGGAGUUGAGAGAACAUCCAAGGGAAUGGUUUUAAGGCCUAGGACAAGUCAGCAUGGUGGUAACUCUACCUAGCAGACUGGAGAUCCCAAGAGCUAGGUUCAAGGAGAUUAAACAAAGUUGUCUCUAACAGGUUCAACAUUGGCAAAAUACCAACCCAUUCUCAUGAUGUAGACAAUGUUUAGUAAACAAGGAUAAGACUUAAGGUGAAAAGUCUUUUAAUGAUUAUCUAAAUUUGACAGAUUUGACCAAAUAGUUUAAUCUAUAGGAUUGAACGUUUAGAAAUCACCUAUGUGAGGGCGAAGUGGAAGCCGCUUCAAGGAGAAUGUUAGUAAAGGCCUAUUCUCUAAACUCUCAUGAAAUCGAGACGUGUUCAUGAUUGAAAAGAACAAAACCGUGAGCACAAUAAAUGGUAAAAGGCUGGUUGUGUGACAUGUGUUGUCUAGGUGUACAUUAAAGCUCGACGGUUCAAAGAUAUCAAAUCUACUGAUUGACCGAGUGCAUCCGAUGCGUGUUCACUACGAAAAGUUCAAAGGGAAACCCAUUUAUCCUGAUGCAAUAGUUUUUGCUUGAUGAUCACAUAUUUGUCCAUAAAGUUUUACAAAAAAAUAGCCAUUCCCCAUUCAUAUGGGGGAUUGUUGGGUUCAAUAGGUGUGAAUGGAAAGUGGAGGGACACAACCUUUGAGGAAAAGACAUAUUAUUUUGGAAAAUGAGUGACUAUUCAGAUAGUUGUGUCUGUUCAGAAGAAGACACAAUAUUUCAAAUGAACAAACACUACUCUUCCAAAGGAUACACCUUUUCGGAUGAACCAUUGUCACCUUUUGGAAGGGGCACUUGAUGGCUAUAUAAACCUGCUUUUAUCCACAGGUUUAGGAAUUAAAUUUUUUUUUUUUUGAAAUACAAACUUUUCUUGUCUUUAAAACAUUGGUUGUGAUCAAUCAAAUCGUUGAGUGAGUUCGACGAUUCCAAUUAUUUGAGGUACCACUAUAGUUGGAUUGAAAGCCAUUUUAUCCUGGUAGGAAAAUUUCAAAACCUCGGGUACAGUGAAGGGAAUUAUUCCUUAAGGACACUCCGUGAGGUUGGGGGGACUUGGCUUUACAUUUCUGUUUCAUCUUAAUUUCUGAAAAAAUAAAACACACUUCUUAAAAAUCCCUCUUUGAUCUUGUGUUGAGGGUGUUGUUGUACUUCAUAGUGUUCUUGUUUUAAACUUGAACUAGUGUUGAAGUUAUUGUGUCAAAUUACAGAUUCUUGUACCCGAAAACGUUGAAAGAUAACACUGCCUUCUUCACAAAUCUCACAUAUACAUACAUGGCUGCCUGCAGUCGUAUUGGGGAUUCUCUCUCUGUUUUGCGUUGGCGCAUAUGCUUUGAAAGGAUGCCCGUUUAAAGCCUUGUACCAGCAACAUAGGAAUUCAAUAUCAAUUGAUCACCGUCAACAACUCUCAAUUCAUGUCAACAACGAUACGCGGACAGUGAUUGGAGAAACACCUCAUGAUAUUAACUUCUUUACUCGAUAUGAUCAAUGGCACAAAAAUCAAGCCACCACGAUGGAGAAAGAGAAAAGUACCAAUAACAAUGACUACAACAAUUUCUGCAUAGUAGGUUUCAUCAUUGUUAUAACUCUUGCGAUUAUCCGUCUAUUUCGUGUUGAUCAUGCCGCUCACGCUCCGAGGGAAUGUCCGUUUAAAUCCAUGUACCGCAAAUAUGGAAAUUCCAUGUUGUCAAGUAGUACUAAUCUUGGAGUAAUUGGAGAAACACCUCAUGAUCGUAGCGCCUUUUUUGAUCAACAUCAAUGGCUCAAAAAUCACGUUAACAUGAUGCAGAAAAAGAUGUAAUUAAUGAAUCAAAGAUCAAUUUUAUGGAGAACACAUUGAAGCAAUGAUUAGAAUGUCUUUAUUGGUGACUAAAAACAUAGUAAUAUGUAUUGUACUUAGUAGAUGUUGGUCUAAGUCAUUGAACAAGCGUCUGUUCUAAUUGUGAAAUAGAAUCAUAAUAUUAGUUUAUCUAUGUUUUCUUAGUUUUGUUUUUAAUUAGCGCUAUAGACUUGUUUUUCCAGAUGUCAUGACUCAUGAGCUCCACUUUGAAUGUAAACUAUAGGAUAUGUGGGGUACUUAAUGAUUGUUAAGUAUGUUUGGUUGUGGUUACUCCAAAAAUCUCCACAUGGAAUGUGCGUGUUUUUCCCCUUUGGAAAUCGUGAUUUCCGAUUUAGCUUAUUACGUAUCUUUCACUAGUGAGUAUCAAGAAAGAAUUAUCUAGUGUUUUUAUAAUUAUGUUAAAAUUCAAAUCUAAGAUCUUGUAUUUUUUUGUUAAUUAGUUGUUAGGUCUGAAUGUGACUGGAAAAAGAUUGUGUAAGGAAGUGCACUUCAAUUUUUUUUUUUUUAAAUCGUGAAAGUUGUAAACGAGCAUUUCAUUUGAAAUAUAUAUUUUCAAACCAAUUUUCAUUUCAUGUUCAAAUACAGAAAUUUCAAAUACUUAUGAUCAAAAUUGAGGAAAAAAAAUUAAACGAACAAAACUGGGAAAAAGAGAAACAAUUAGGAUCGGGAUUCACAAGAAAUUUGUGGUGAAGCGGUAGUUUAUCCUUAACUUAGUCUCAAAGAUUUAAGCUCAAGAUAUGAAGCCGCCUUACCUUCAAAGUGCGAUUUUCUAACAUAAAUUCAAAUUAAUUUUUGUACUUAACUUAAUUAGUCUCAUUCAAUAGCGACUCAAGUAAAUUCGUGGCCUAAGACUAAAAUCAAACGGAAGUCUUAAUUUUUUAAGAAAAAAUAAUUUUUUUUUAUAAAGUCUACUUUUAAAAUUAUAUAAUCGAUUUCUUCUAAUAAUUUUUUUUAAUUAAUAAUAUAAUCAAUGUAUUAAAUCUUUCUUGAGACAUAUUAUUCUAGACUAGAUAUAUCACUCCUUUUAAAUUCCUUUUACGUAAAGAGUUUAUUUUUUCUACAAAUAGUGGUAAUCUAUUAUUACUAAAAAUAAAUACAUAAGGCCCCUCAAAUUUGGAAAUAUACGGAGGUGCCUUUUUUUUUUUUUUUCGAAAGGGCAGAGUCGCUCCUAGUCUCAAGGUUGUGCAUUUAUUUGUCUUUUUGGUUUGCCCUUAUUUUUUUCCUUCUUCAAUUUAAUUUUUUAUUUGAUCAUAAAAAGUUACUUUAAAUUGUUAUUGAUAUUCUUUUUAAAUUUAUUAAAACCAGUUUUAGCAUUUAAAUUAAGUGUGUUGUCCAAUAAAAUAAAAAUAGCUUGAGUGUUGGAACUUGGAAUUCUCAAUUUUACUCAUGCCUCAAUAUCUAUAUCUAUAUCUAUAUCUAUAUCAAUAUCUAUAUCUAUAUCUAUAUCUAUAAUCUAUAAUCUGUAAUCUACAAUUCUAUAAUAUAUUAAAAGUGUGAAGACCCUUAUAAAAGUGAUUUAAACUUUUUGUCCUUUAUUACAAGUCUCUACUUUAGACAAAUCGUAUUUUCACUAUUUUUCUAAUAAUAAAAAACAAACAUUAAACAAAAAAUUACAAGAAAAAUUCAAUCCAGAUUUGAUUUGGAUUUGGGAGUUAAAACUCGUGCUUAUAUAUAUGCUUUUGUUUAGAUUUUCUUGUACAACUAAAGUCAACCAAAAUUAAAUAAAAUAAUAUUUAACACUUCUAAAUCAAUUCAAAUUUUACCUUAUAUAAAUUAGAGUCCUAUUUAAGGAGUAAUAUUUUGGAUCAAACUUUACAAAAACAUAGUUUUGCAUAUAUUUUUUGCUUAAUUUAAUAAUUUUGAUUCAAGUUUUCUUCUUACAAUCAUUAUUAUCAUCUACUUUCUCUUGUUUUUUCUUUCAGUUUAUUUUGUUUGAUAGGACAAUUACAACUUACCUUCAACUGCUGAUCCUUUGAAAUGUACAUAUGUAUAUGUCCUUUGAAAAUAUUGUUUGGUUCCUCACAUAGCCAAAUUAGAGAUAAAAGAGCUAAGAGGUUUUUUUUUUUUACAAUUCUGUCAUCGUAAAAUUUAUUUGAGUAGAAAUAUGACAGAACCAGGUAAGAAUUAGUUAUACUAAAUGGCUCAUGCAUAAAGUCCUUUAUAUACUAGUAGGAGCAGUAGUUUUUGAUUAAGAGUCAUAAUUGAUCUAUGCUUCGUAUUGAAUAUUGAAGUUUUAAAUUUUUUGCAUUGUUCUUAUUUACUUAUUUUUAGUGAGUUAUAACUUAUUUUAGUCAGUAAGUUCUCUUUGAUUCUCUUGUGUUGUAUUCUAUAAUUUUUUUCUUUAACAAUGAACAAACGUCUUCUGUGGAAAGUUGGACAAUACGCUAUUUCUUUGGUCAUUAUUUGAUUAAUUUUUUGAAAUUAUAGAUUAUUGUAUGGAGUAGACAUGAAAUUAAUAUAUACCCACAUGAAGACAUCUCUAUAUCAAGUUCGUUUGUUUAAUCUGUCAUUUAGUUAAAUUUGAAGUUGUAAAAUUUCAUUGUGUUAACUCUUACAUGUUCAUAGUUAGUAUGACGGGAUUUUGUCAUUGGUGGUGAACAUUUAGAGGAAGAGGUACAUGGAGAAAUGAGUGUUUGAUAGCUCAAUUUAAAGAUGUGUUUGAUUCAUUACGAGGUCACUUCUAUUCUAUUCUUCUUCUUCUUCCUUUUUUUCUUGGGUCAUCUUCUUAAUUUCGCUCUAAGCUAUUAAAUUAUGUCAACUAAUUCGUUGAGUAAAAAUGAUAACAGAAAAGAUAUUUUGAUGAAUACAACUAAGAAGAAUAAUCUGGAUCAUACGCGUGACUUGCGAGCUACCAAUAUAAGAGUCUUUUGAGCCUUAAAAUUCUUUCAUGUUUAUUUCUCUUAUAUGAUUCAUUAUUUGAAUUUAACUUUUAAAAGUAUAUAUAAAUUUAAAGAUUAUUUUUUAUUGAUGGUUAUUAAGGACAUAUCAAACAAGUAUUCAAUGUAAUUGUAAUAGCUUCAUUUUAGAAGUCACAAUUAUGACUUUGGAAACUUUAUAAUGUAGUAAGAUGCUAUAUUAGUUGCUUUAAUUGUGUUUAUAGCUAAAAAUCAACAUGUCAAGGGUUUUCCUCUUUUAAUAAUUUCUCAUGUAUUUUCUUUAAUUAAAAUAUUUUGAUCGAAAAAUUUGACGUGAUACACGUACAUUAAACUAGUUUCAUCUAAUAAUAGGAAACUAAUAUUAUUAUAGCAUAAAAUUUUAAACCGAAUUUGAAAAGGUUAAGUUCCAAAUACGAAUCCAAUUAGAAUUAGGAUUAGGUUCAGUUCUGCCCUUCUAUAUAUUGCUGUCCAUUAUUAUUAUAUCAACUUCCUAAUACACCUACAAAUCACAAAUAUACAUACAUGGCUGCCUCAACAAAAUUAGCAGUCGUCUUGGUGAUUCUCUCUCUGUUUUGCAUCGGUACACACGCUUUGAAAGGAUGUCCGUUUAAAGCCCUGAACCAGCGACAUUGGAAUUCAAUCUCAAUUGAUCAUCGUCAACAACUUUCAAUUCAUGUCAACAACAAUACACGGAUAGUAAUUGGAGAAACACCUCACGAUAUCGACUUCUUUACCCGACAUGAUCAAUGGCUCAAAAAUCAAGUUAUCACGAUGGAGAAAGAGAAAAGUACCGAUAACAAUGACUACAACAAUUUCUACAUAGUAGGAUUCAUCUUUGUUGUUAUUCUUGCGAUUAUCAAUCUACUUCGUGUUGAUCAUGCCGCUCAUCACGCUCCAAGGGAAUGUCCGUUUAAAUCCAUGUAUCGUAAGUAUGGAAGAUCUAUGAUGUCAAGUAGUACUACUCUUGGAGUAAUUGGGGAAACACAUCAUGAUCAUAGCACCUUAUUCGAUCAACAUCAAUGGCUCAAAAAUCACGUUAGAAUGAUGCAGAAAAAGAUGUAAUUUAUGACCUACAAGAUCUUUUAUAGCAUAGACAUUGAAGCAAUGAUCAGAUGAGGUACUUUAUUGGUGGCUAUAAACAUAGUAAUAUGUAUUGUAGUAGAUGUUGGUCUAAGUCGUUCUAAUUGUGACAAUAGAAUCAUAUUACCUACUUAUUGGUUUAUCUAUAUAUGUUUUCUUAGUUUUGUUGUCAGCUUGUACAUACUCGUUUUCCUAAAUUUUCACAUGCUCCAGUUUGAAUGUAAACUAAGAUAUGUGGGCUAAUUGAUUAUAUGUUUGGUUGUGGUUACUCCAAAAAUCUUCACUAGGAUGUUGUGCCGUGUAUUUUUAUCCUCUCAGAAUCGUUGUGUCUUAUGUCUUGUUAUCAGCUUGUACAAACUCGUUUAUAUGAAAUAAUUCGUAUUUAUUGAAAAAACUAUGAGAAUUAAUUCAAAUUUGUCCAUAAAUCGUACGUUAAUGGUAUACAGUUUAGAUGCAACUUUGAACCAUCAUAUAUAAUUUAGAACAAAUUUGGACCUUUACCAUGCCGUAGUAAUUAAAAAAAACAAGAAGAAAAAAUUUCAAACAAACGAAAUGGGGGAAAAGAGAGACAAUUAGGAAUGGGCUUCACCACGAAGGGUGGUUGGGAAACAAAUUAUUUCCGAAUUAGUUAUCCCCAAAUUAUUAUCUUUUGAUUAUUUAUUUUGGGAUUGCUAUUUCACUCUCAAGGUGAGAUAAAAAUAACACCACAAUCUCCGGAUAAGUUAUUCCAUGAUUUUAUCUCAAUCAAAUAUGAAAUAAACUCAUCCUAAAAUUAAUUUCGAGAUUAGUUAUUCAUUGUUCCUCCUACCAAACGAGUUCUAAAGGUUGUGGUGGAGUUGUAACUAGUAAGUACUUGUUUAUUCUUAAAUAAAUGUCUCAUAUUUGAGCCCUAAACAUGAAGUCGUGCUUUACUCUAUUUCUAACACAAUUUUAAAUAAAUCAAACCUCAAAACAUCCGAUCUGGAUAAGAGAAAAAAAAAGAGAGUAGGAACAGGAAUCACAUGGGUAUACACUACUCCCUUCGUCUCAUUUUGUAUGACACACUUUUCUUUUUGAUUGUUCAGACAAAGAAUGAUGCAUUUUUUUAUUUGGUAACUAUUUAAGACGUAGUUUUUUUAUCCUUAUUGAUUCCUCUUAAUUUUAUUCCUUCUCUUUUUUACCUUUUUUUUAAAAAAGAACAAUUUGAUAAAAUUCACAAAAUUUUUAUUUAUUUUUUAAACUCCGUGUAACAACUCAAGUUACUAAUACAAGAAUAGCAAGUAUUAUAACCUUUACUUAUUUUUAAAACUCUGUGUAGCAACUCAAGUUACUAAUACAUGAAUAAAGGUAUUAUAAUCAGCUUCAUGUUAGGGGUUUUAUCUUUUCAACUCAGCUAUGUCCUUCAUCCGAAGACAUGAUGGACAACUACCCUUAUUUGUUCACUUCUAACAAUGAUUCAGUAAGAGUAAUAGAUCUCUCUCCUAGCAUUACGCUCUUCAAAUUUCAUGUCUAAAUUGUUCCAUAUGAUUCCUAUGUAUGUGUUCAUGUUCCAUAUGUACCAGUUGAGUCAGUACUCUGUCAAAAGGGUGAUUCCAGAUAUGAAACAUGAUCAAUUUUAGAAAUUCAGUUUUAUUUUAACUUUAGAAACACCUCUGACAGAAAUGUAAGGUAAGGUUGCACACAAUACACUCUUGUGGUGGGGUCUUUCCCUGGACCCUGCACAUAGCAGGAGUUUUAUUGCACCAAAAUGCUAUUUUUUUUAGUAACUACAUUCUUUUCAUCCUAAUAUCAAUCUUCAUCAUAGGAAGGAUGACCCAGGGGAGAGAUAUUAUAAUACUCCCAAAGUUCAUGCAAGUUCUUAGUGGGUUACUAUGUGUUUUAGGGUUAUGAGAAGUCCCUAACACAUAUAUAGUUAAAUUGUAAACUCCUCUUUCGGCCAAGUUUUAGUGUGAGGUUAUUUUUGAGUCAAAUUCAAACAAUCAUUACUCCUUUAAUAUGAAAGAUUUUGCAGCGUAAAACCCACCAAACAAAAGAUCUUUGAUUCUUGUUUUCAAUGCAUUUGAUUUCUCCUUAAUCUGAUAUCGGAGUAGAAAGUUAUGCUCAUUUUACCUGAAGGUGUUUGUUUGCCAGAGAUUGACGACCUGAGUUGACGAAUUGUCAACGAGUUGACGAACCGUUAACCUUAACUAGUAAAGCUUAAAAUCGGCUAGACAUUGACGACCUAAGUUGAGAAGCCAUCAACAGGUUGACGGACCAUCAACCAAGUCGUCAGAUAGGAAGUUUCUGCAGUUUUUUUAGUUUCCUUUGGGGUAAUGGUCCUUUCCUUACCCCAAAAUCUUUCCCCACGACUUAAAUCACUCGAUAAAUGUUAUUUACUUAGCAAUUUAAUAAGUUUUCAUCGCUUUUUAUCCUCUCCACUCUCACGAGAAAUGAAAUUAGUCUUUUUUCCAAAGUUUAACUUUUGAGGCUCCAAACUCAAAGUUUCUUUUAAGAAAUUUGGGUAUGUGAGGUUUGAACAAGGGUUUCCUUUCCCCCUUGUGCCCAAAAAUGUUAUUUUUUUUUAUAAUUAAGUUUAUGGAUUUGCUUAAUAAGGUUCAUAUCCACUUUACAUGAUUUAAAAUUAUGGUGCUCUCUUUUGAAUGAAAUUGUAUUUAUUAUGAAAAUUCACAAUUUACUCAUGAUUUUACUUGUAUGGUCGAGCUCGUGAAGUGAAUUUUAUUUUUUUUUGACAUGAAAUACCAUAAGUUGGUAAAUGCAUAUGAUUUUAGCACGAUUACUUAGUUUACAAGAAAUUUAGACUUAUGAUUUUAGAUUCAGAAUGAAACUGACAUUUGUACUUAUGAUUAUGAAAUAGAAACGGAAGCAUAUUAUGGUUUUAAAAUUUAUCAGAUUAUAUGCUUAUAUGAUAGUGAAUUUCAUUUAUUUUAUUCGCAAUUGUAUGAAUUUGAGAGUAGUAACUAGCACCGAGGGGUGAGGGUUUAGCGUAUUAUAGUCCCAUAAACUAUGUACCACCGUAGGUAUUCAUUAUUCUACUUGUCCAAAUAGGCACGUACAGGUGAUCACAUUUAUACGCCUUUAUAUAGUGACAAGGUAUAUCAAGUCCUUUCUAUGAGGGAGUUAACAUCGGACUCUAUGUUACUCGCAUGGUUUAUGUCGGUUAAGAGACUCUUCUAUAGAAAUAUUAAUUUGGAAACUAAAUGUAAUGACUUACUGACCUUACUAGAUUAUAAUACCCCGUGUAUAAAAGCUACUGUACAAUGUACAAAUUAUCUUUUUAAGUCAUAUAAACAACAUAUGAGUCGUAUGUUGGAGUCGUACCUAUGGCAGUGUGGAAUAGUUGAAGUAUGUUAUAGAUACGAGUUGAUCCUAGAAGUCGUCAUGACAUGGUACGACUUUUAUAAAGUUGAGUCGUAAGGGUAACAACCUAAGUUCUCUAAGCUUUUGUCCAAGUUACUAAUGGUGGAUACAAGUCGUAUUGAGAGGUUACUAGUCAUAGGUUAGACUCGUAUGUUGACCAGUGUAUACCAUCUUUGAUCCUGCCAAGCUCACAAGUCAUGUGGCUAACUCGUAUCUUCAUCAUAUAAGUCGUAUGGUUGACUCGUCACGACUGGCGGUCAAUUUAUGUAAUGUUUAGUUAAGGGGCCUUUUGAUCUUUUCCCCUCUUAUAACCCCAACCCACGACUUAUAACCUAAAAAUGAGCGUUAUUUUCCUCUACAUUCAACCAAUUUACAACCCUUUCCUCUUUCUAUCUUCAAAAUCCUCAAGAUUAGGGUUUCUCUCACCAAGUCACCUUUCAAGUUUCAAAGUUCAAGCUCUCUUCACAAGUCAAACAAUUCCAGGUAUGUGGGGUUUAUGAAGAAGGCUAUUCUUUCAUUCUUGUGCCCUAAAAGCAUGAUUUUUAAGAGUGAAUUUACUUAUUUUGAAUUACGGUUCAUACCCAAAUAACCAUAUUCUUAAAGUAUGACAUUAUCAUGUGAUAGAAAUAUUUAAUUGUAUCAAGGUUUACAUAUAUUCAUGUCUUGACUUGUAAGAUUUAUAAUGUGAUUUGAAAUUCAUUAUAUAAACUGGGAUGUUGUUGAAAGAUUUCAAGGUGAUUAAUGAGCAUAAUAUUUUGUUAUGAAUUUCUAUGAAAUAAAGCAUGAACUCCAAGUCCUAAGUACAAGUACUGAGUUUAUAACAAGUUUAUGCUCUUAAGCUCCAUUGAUAUAUUCUAUAACAUGAUUUAAAGAAAAGCUUGAUAUUUUGAUCUAAACAUAAGACAUAAAAUCACAAGUGUUCAUCUUGAUUAUGAUUUAAAGUAAAGAGAAGCAUAACUGGUUUUUAGUUUACAAACCCACAUGCUAUUUUAAGGUGGAUUUCCUAAGUAUGAGCAUAUACAUAAUUUGGGAGUAGUAGCACUGAGAAGGAAAUGCGGAUGAGUAUAACCUAAAUUCCUAAGAACUACGAGCCUCUGUAGGUUAAGCUCUUUCCCAAUAUGGAUGAAGUAUAGUUAUCACUUAAGUUAAGGUUCUAUUCUGAUGGCAAGGGUAGAACUGCUCUCCCUAACGUGGGUAAGACGUUGGACUUCAUGAUAGCUCGCAUUGUUUAUGUCGGUUAGAAGAAUCUCCCAUAAUAAAGAAUAAGGGUAAAGAUUUCUGAACCUAAGUGUUAUGGCUCACUAAGUUUACUCUUAUGCAUCAUUAUCCAUGUUUUAUGGUCUUGCAGUCUUUAGUUUUACUCAAGUUCAAUGUGAGUCAUUUACACUUAGCAUGCAUUAUUUGAAAUCUUACAGAUAUAUUCAGUUCUUGUUUUACUUUGCAUUAACCCCCACAUACUCAGUACAUUCUAGAUGUACUGACCCACAUAUAUGUCUAUGUGCUACAUCGUCUUAUAAUGUAGUUUCUGGUGCUCAUUUUCUGCAGCACGAUUGACUACGACAUCAUUACCUACAUCCCAACUUUUGGUGAGUCCUCAUAGUCCGAGGACCCAGCUUAUUAGAAUUUUAUUCAUUGAUGCAAGUAGUUUAGUUAUUUGAUUUCAUUUAUGUUCGGGUCAGCUAGGGUAUGUCCCAGUGGCUCUCUAGUUGGGUAGUAGAUACUUGUCAGACUGUGUAUUUUCUAAGUUCAAAGAGUUGGUUAAUGUUAUCAAUGUUAAAGAUUUAUAUUAAGUUUUGGAAUUGAUUAUCUUCGGUCCAUAUUCAUAUAAGGGUCAACCAUUCAUGCGAGGUGUAAGCUGAAUAGGUAUCAUGGGUUAGCUUAGGGCUAUUCGUAGUCUUGAGCACCCUAUGACGUCUAGGGGUUACUUUCGGGACAUUACAAACUUGGUAUCAGAGCUUAAUAUUUAAAAAGUCCUAGGGAGUCAGACAAGCCGCGUUAUGUAGAUUCUUGAUCAUGAAUGUGAGGCACACCAUAUUUAUGAGCGAGAGGCUACAGAACGAGUUAGGAAUCAUCAUUUCUUUCAUAAUCUAUCGUACUCAUAGUUGUCUCUAUCUGCCUUAACUCAUGCUUUUACGUGACAGAAUAUGCCUUCUCGUCAAGCCAACAAAUGUAAAAAUAGUGAUCAACCACCCCUGCACGCAGUCCCUCUGAAUAAGAAUGUAUCUCAUGCUUAAUUUUGGGUUGCCUUUCAGGCAUUGGCCUAAGCUGUAAGUGCUAAUGUUCAGGGAAAUCACGAGGCAACAAUCCCACUUCAGCAAAAUAGUAACCUAGCUGUAUCCCGAAUUCGGGACUUUAUGAGGAUGAAUCCACUUGAGUUCCAUAGAUCAAAGAUGGAUGAGGAUCCUCAACUCUUUAUUGAUAAGGUGAGAAAUAUUACUCAGAUCAUGCAUGUUACUAAAGAGGAGAGUGUAGAGCUGGUAUCCUAUAGGCUAAAUGAUAUUGCUUAUGAUUGGGUCACUAUGUGGAAGGAUGGUUGGGGUAAGAAUGCAGCUCCUAUGAGUUGGCAGGUAUUUCAAAAUGCUUUUUUUUGACAGGUUCUUUCCUCGUAUGAUGAGAGAGGCUAAAGUAGAGGAGUUCAUAAACCUGAGCCAGGGCUCUGUGACAGUGAAUGAGUACUGCCUUAAGUUUACUCAGUUGUCUAAAUAUGCCCCAGAGUUGUUAUCUGAUUUUAGAGCUCGUAUGAGUAAGUUUGUUACUGGGGUAUCAGACUUGGUGGUCAAAGAGUGUAGGACUGCCAUGCUGAUUGGGGAUAUGGAUAUUGCUCGAUUGAUGACUCAUGCUUAACAGAUUAAGGCCUAAAAGUUAAAGAAAAAAGAGAAGAGAAACAAGAGAGCUAGGAUUGGACAAUUUGAGCAUAGUCAGCCAAGGUCCGGAGGGGGAAGCCGUUCACAAUUUCAGGGCAAUUCAUCAGUACCUGCGCUAUCUCCAUCCAGUGCCCCUACACCUAGGACUCGAUAAGAGUAGUGGGGCAGGACUUCGAAUUCUAGGUCUCAGAAUAGUGUAGUCUAGAGGCCUAGUUACCCGACAUGUGCAAAGUAUGGUGGGACCUAUCCUGGUGAGUGUUUGAUGGGCAUAGGGGGUUGCUAUGGUUGUGUCAAGUUGGGCCACAGGAUUAAGGAAUGUACAUAUGUUUUGCAGGGGAGUCUAGAUCCUUAGGCUACUAAUCCAGCAGCUCAGCCAGGCUGCCCAGUUCCCUCACAGGGCGCAUCAUCCAGUACUGGUAGCGGUCAGCACCAGAAUUGAUUCUAUGCUUUAUCAUCCCACCAGGAGCAGGAGAGUUCACCAGAUGUUAUCAUUGGUAUACUUCGUGACCAUCACCUUGAUGUAUAUGGGUUGUUAGACCCGGGAUCAAAAUUUUCUUAUGUAACUCCAUUGGUUGCUAUAAAAUUUAGGGUAGGUCAUAAGAAUUUCCUUAAGCCCUUCUCAGUUUCUACUUUAGUGGGCGAGUCAGUUAUUGUUAGACGAGUCUAUAGGGAAUGUCCUAUUGCCAUCCUCUAUAAGAUCACACUAGCGGACUUAAUAGAGUUAGAUAUAGUAGAUUUUGAUGUUAUUUUGCAGGUAUUUCAAAAUGCUUUUUUUUGACAGGUUCUUUCCUCGUAUGAUGAGAGAGGCUAAAGUAGAGGA